GUUUCUACUUUUGUUAGUUUGUCUUAUACUUUAAAGUUCAAGUUAUAUAUUCAUAUUUAUUUAGCUACCUUUUUUGUAUCAAGAAAUGGGAUAUACGUAUGUAUUCUUUAAUCUUAUUAAAGAGCUUGGGACAACUGCAUUAAAAAUUUGUUGAGAAGGUGGAAACUUUAACUAUUUUGAAAAGAAGUUUUUGCAUUUCUCUAUGGUUUUUUUCACGAUAGGCAGAAUUUUUUUGCUUCCAACGGCUAUUAAAUUUUGAUUCUUCAUAUAUUACUUAUUUCUAUUCAUUUGAAGUUUACUAAUGAUAUUUUAGAUUUAGUUAAGGUUCUGAAUAAUUGGUGUUUAAUUAAUUUUCUACAUCUUAUUUAAUCCUUACUUCUGUUUAACGUGUGAUCCGUGAUGGGGUUGUUGAACAUUUUAACUUUUAAGGGUGUGGUUUAGUGGCAGCAACCGAAAGAAGCCAUUCGAUAAGGUACAAAAACUUGUGUGGGCCCACCUUCUAUUAAUCGUUAUAGUGACAAUGAUGGGCUUCCUUAACUUCAAGCAGCAUUAAUUAGAAAGGUAAGCAAAAUCGUUCUAGACUCUAUCUUUUUCUUACAACAUAUAAAUGUGUGUUAACUGGUUGGAACUUGUUUUUGGAAUGAAACUUGGUUUUCAAUAAGGGUCAAGUGCGCAUUAAGUUACAGCGCUUUUUAGUAGUUGAAAUUCCUGAGAAUUGGUGAUCCUUUUCUAUUAACUCCUAUGCUUUCGAUUGUAGUUGUCAAAUGUAAACAAUUUGCACAAGUCCUAGGUAAUGGUUACUACAGGUGCCAAUCAGGUGAUCAAUCUUCAUAAGAUAUAAAUGUGUUUUAUAAUUUUAUAAUUUUUUCAUGACAAAAAAAUAUAACACACACGGUUAGUGAAGAUAAUGCACUUUAUAAGCAUUUCAGUUUCCAUUUCAUACCUUUAUGUUUAUGUGUAUAAUGUAUUUUUUCCUUCUUGGCUUUUCUCCGUUUGAACUUGGAAAGGAGCAUAGUUAGGGAGAGAUUUUUGAUGGUAACGAAUUGGUGGUCAAAUCCAGCAUCAAUGAGGUAAUUUAUGUUAAGGAAGGCAACGACUUCCCAUGGUUUCUUCUCACGGAUUUUCAUAAUUUGUGUCUGUGAGGCUUCAUUUCGUGUUAAGGUGAUAAGAUCUGUUUCAAGAGCGUCCCAAAAAGAAGGGGCGCCAAUAUAGCAACAAUCUUCCAGAUAGAGUUUCGAGCACUCAAAGUGGUCCCUGGACAUAUUUUUGGUGAUGAGUCAUCACCGGAGCGCUGACGUGGCGUCGUUUUGCCAGGCUGGAGCUGAGCUGGCUCAUUUUCAAUUUAUACCCACAUUGGUCCCUCGCGGUUGGUGUUAUUGUACAAAGCCCCACUCAUGCACCCUUGGCUCUCCCUCUUCCUCGCGUUCUUCAUCACAUUCUUCAGGCUCCCAAUUCUCUUCCUCUACGCUCUCCAAACCUACAUCCACUCCGAUGCCCAACCCUCCACAUCCAACGGCCUUCGUGCUGCCAUUCGCCGUCCUAGCACCCCAAAGGCCCUGCUCCCGACCUUAGAAAGCGCCCCAAGAAUAAAGACAAGCUCGAUUUCGUCCCAUGUUCCUUUCUAUAUCUUUCCUCAACUUAUAUUUGCUGCUUAAAUUCUCAUCAUGUUUGUUAGGAGCCACUAAAUGUUUCAUGUUUAACUGGGCAGGUUGAAUGACUUAGACAAUUAUUGACAGCUAUUGAAGAGCUACAUCUUAUUGGAAACAAUAUAAGUAGAGUACUGGGAUAUGCAGGUAUCACUUUGAAGUGUGUUGGAGCAUCCAUGGGUGAGAAGCAACCGUUGAAAAAGAAGCUGCCAGCAACAACUACGGUUGGUAAGCUGAAAUUUAUGUGAGGGCUUUUUUAAGCUGAAGUCAUUGGAGCUAUAGUUAUUUCUUCAAGAAGAGAUCCCACCGGAAUAUGGAUUUAACCACAUAUGCUGCUAAAGAGCUUCUAAAGUUAGAUAGAGAGCGAUGGAGAAGAAGAUGAGAUGAAGUUUACGAAAAUUUGGGGAUUUAGGGUUAGAUAUAAAGAAAAAGACCAACGUGGGUACAAAUUGGAAAUUGACCAGCUCAGAUAGCCGUUGGACCCCUCUAGUGUGGCAAACAGAGACCACGUUAGCGCUCCGGUGAUGACUCAUCACCAGAAAUAUGUCUAGGGACCACUUUAAGUGCUCGGAGCUCUAUCUAAAGGACUAAAAUGGAGAAAUUGGAAUCUUGAGGAUUACAUUAAGUAUUUACG